rnacentral:rRNA from 1 species
CAANGUAUGCUUUGGAAACUGUUAGACUNGAGUGCAGAAGGGGAGAGUGGAAUUCCAUGUGUAGCGGUGAAAUGCGUAGAUAUAUGGAGGAACACCGGUGGCGAAAGCGGCUCUCUGGUCUGUCACUGACGCUGAGGCUCGAAAGCGUGGGUAGCGAACAGGAUUAGAUACCCUGGUAGUNCACGCCGUAAACGCUGAGUGCUAGGUGUUAGGUCCUUUCCGGGACUUAGUGCCGACGCUAACGCAUUAAGCACUCCGCCUGGGGAGUACGACCGCAAGGUUGAAACUCAAAGGAAUUGACGGGGGCCCGCACAAGCGGUGGAGCAUGUGGUUUAAUUCGAAGCAACGCGAAGAACCUUACCAGGUCUUGACAUCCCGAUGCCCGCUCUAGAGAUAGAGUUUUUCUUCGGAACAUCGGAGACAGGUGGUGCAUGGUUGUCGUCAGCUCGUGUCGUGAGAUGUUGGGUUAAGUCCCGCAACGAGCGCAACCCUUAUUGUUAGUUGCCAUCAUUAAGUUGGGCACUCUAGCGAGACUGCCGGUAAUAAACCGGAGGAAGGUGGGGAUGACGUCAAAUCAUCAUGCCCCUUAUGACCUGGGCUACACACGUGCUACAAUGGUUGGUACAACGAGUCGCAAGCCGGUGACGGCAAGCUAAUCUCUGAAAGCCAAUCUCAGUUCGGAUUGUAGGCUGCAACUCGCCUACAUGAAGUCGGAAUCGCUAGUAAUCGCGGAUCAGCACGCCGCGGUGAAUACGUUCCCGGGCCUUGUACACACCGCCCGUCACACCACGAGAGUUUGUAACACCCAAAGUCGGUGAGGUAACCAUUUAUGGGGCCAGCCGCCUAAGGUGGGANGGA